UUGAUCGGAGUUUUGAAAACUCGUGGAAGUAUUUAAAAAGCGCCCUGUGCAGAUUAUAUGUCAAAUCAUGGCUUCUCCACCUGUAGAUUUCCAUGUUGUCUGCUGUUGGAAGAACAUCUCUGAGGGACUGUGAAUAGAAUCUUUAUCUUCUGCUUAUAUACAACACUUACUCAUGGGCCAGUGGCACAAUUUCUAGCUGUACAAGGAUAUCAUGGUGUUUGAUAAGUUGAUGACAAUGAAAAUAAUGACCAUGUUAACAUCAGAGGAAAAGCAAACUGGGAAAGAAAGGACAACAUUGUUUUCGAUCUUGAAGGCCUGCGUAGACAUAGGACCAGGAAGGGGAGCUAGGAGUGGGAGAAGUGCCUGUGACUGAUAUAUGCACUGUCAGAUAGAAAUCCAGUUCAAAAGGAAAUCUGAAAUAGUGAAAUAGCAGAAAUCAUGACUUACAUACUGUAUAAUCUGCUCUAAAACACAAACAUUUCAAUUUAAAAUGUGUUAAAUGCAAAACAGUUCUACUUACAAAAUGAAUCUUUCAGUAAAUUCUAAAUGCAGCUGAAAAGUGAUGUACAUGAAAUGUGUGAAAACAGUGCAAGUUAAGUUUGAUUUUUUGUUGUAGACAAAACUGAAGAACUUGUAUCCAAUUCAUUUUCAGGAUGCACAGUGUUAUUGGAAUUUUUUUCAGAUAAUUUAAAAUUCUACAAGGUGAAGAAAUUUCAAAUAGUAUCUCAAGAAAAAAAGUUUUAUGCACAAUGAAUUGUUUUUCAAAAAUUUGCAGUUGUUUGUUCAUUGUUUUGCCAGUCCAUUACACUUAUACUUUACUUUAUUUAUUCUUAAUAUUUUUGUGAAUGGAUUAGAUUACUUGUUCACAAGGCAAAAUCAAGAAUUUGUCGGUUAAGGUUAAUGUUGUUUCAAGCUAAGUGAUGGGCAGACUCCAUUUGUAGUGAUUUUAAGAAUAAUUAAAAUAAUUUGUCACAUAAAUCAAUAUUAAAUGACCUGGCUGAAAGUUAUAUAUGAAAAAAAAAUGUAUUUUGUUCAGAUUGUUCUACAUAGAACUUUUUUGCAAGAUUUU